AUUGAACGCUGGCGGCAUGCCUUACACAUGCAAGUCGAACGGCAGCGGACCUUCGGGUGCCGGCGAGUGGCGAACGGGUGAGUAAUAUAUCGGAACGUACCUUUCAGUGGGGGAUAACGUAGCGAAAGUUACGCUAAUACCGCAUAUUCUGUGAGCAGGAAAGCAGGGGAUCGCAAGACCUUGCGCUGAUUGAGCGGCCGAUAUCAGAUUAGCUAGUUGGUGAGGUAAAGGCUCACCAAGGCGACGAUCUGUAGCGGGUCUGAGAGGAUGAUCCGCCACACUGGAACUGAGACACGGUCCAGACUCCUACGGGAGGCAGCAGUGGGGAAUUUUGGACAAGUGGGGGCAACCCUGAUCCAGCCAUGCCGCGUGAGUGAAGAAGGCC
rnacentral:rRNA from 1 species